UUGAAUGUGUGAGUGUGUGCAAUCGUGAGAAGAGGCCAGGAAGAGCUUUCCCCUCAAAACCCUAACAUCCUAAAAUCCCUCAAAUUGAAAGGGAAAUCAAAGAUUAAUCGAAUGCAUGAGCCAGGAACUUUGAUUAUCUAAGUGUUCUUGACAUUAAGUAAGUUUAAUUUCAUGAUUUGGUAAUGAUUGAUGAAAUGGUUUAUGUGGAAUUUGUGAGUUUCUAUGGAAUCAAACUUGAAUGCAGAAUGAUAUGAACAUAUAGGAGUUGAAAUUAUGCUCAAAUUUCCCUAUAAUGAUGAAUUAGGGUAAAACUCACUUGUAUUAUGAUUAAAAAUUUGUGAAAUUUUAUAUGCUAAUUAGAUUAAUGUUGAUGAAACCUUGAUGAAUAGAUGAUUUAGAACAACAUGUAUUUGGUUAGGGUGACAAAUUAUGAAGAUGGGAAUGCUUAUGUUAAUCAAUGGAUGAACUAUGGGAAAAAUAUGCUUUAAAUACUUGUAUUUCAUACUUUAUAGAUAGUACGCACGCCAUAUGUUCGAUGAAAUGCCUAUGAAUGAUUUAGUUGAAGUUUGACAUGAAUUCUUGAAUUAAUGGUAAUGUAAAUGAAAAUGGAUAUAUGGGUAAUUAUAUUAAGUCAUGAUGAAUAAAUCAAAAAUGCAUAUGUGAAGAAAUGUUUAAGAAAGCUAAAAGCAUGAAGUUAUAAUGUAUUGGCACGAAGAAGGUACGAGUCACUUGAAGUCGCAAGCGUCACAAGAUCACGUGUUGAGUUGUAUGUUCAUUUAUGGUAGAAUUGUGAUAUGUUUUAUGUUAGAAAACGGAUAAGUAACCCAAUAGUAUUGGUUGUGUAAUGACCACUCAAGUGGGUCAUAAAUCGUUUGGAAAGUAUGAUGGUAAAUGGUUAGAAAAUGACUUGUUAAUAACGGGUCAAAAUGACGAAAGUACGUUAAAUGAACGGUAUGUAUCGAACCAUUACAGAUGGGUCGGAUAGACUAUAUGUUGAACAUUUCCGAAAGAAAUGUUGAAGAGCAUAAAGAAAUUUAUGCUAAAAAGUAAAGAAUGAAUUUGAAAAAGGUUGUUGACAAAAGGAUAAAUUAUGUUAACGGGUCGAAUAAUGGUAGUUAAAUAAAAGAUUUCUUAUUCCAUAUAUAUGUCGAACUAAUAAAUGUUUGGUGUUACGAAUGAUAGGUAAAUCUCAUGCUUAAUGACGGCGAGCUCGGACCGAACACACCAUAUCGCCCUUUUACACGCUUCUGGUUAAAGUUGUCUUUUGAAAAUGGGUCGAAACACUUUCUUAAUGUAAAUGUUGAACCUAUGUUUAGGAUGUUUUCGUCAGUAAAUUAGGAUUUUAAAACACUUUCUUAAUGUAAAACGCUUUGAUGAAAUUUUGUAUGGUUACGUUUUAUAUGUCUUUUGAAAGUGUUGUAGUUUUUACUUGAAUGGUAAAAGUCAAAAGUAGGGACUUGCUUAAAUUACGAAUGGGUCAUGCCGAAUUUUUGUAAAAAAAAAAUAGUAUGUCAUUUUUAUUAUUUUCGAAUGUGAAAAAGUGGGCGUUACAGCACUAAGCCAAAUAUUUCUCUUUCAUAUACGUCUGUGUUUCGGUUACUUAUACAUACUACUCAUGACACGAUCUCAAAAAAACAUUACAUCGAGAAAACCAAUUAAAAUAAAACACUAUCAAUCAAUACUU
rnacentral:lncRNA from 1 species